rnacentral:rRNA from 1 species
UGACCGGUCUAGAGAUAGGCCUUUCCUUCGGGACAGAGGAGACAGGUGGUGCAUGGUUGUCGUCAGCUCGUGUCGUGAGAUGUUGGGUUAAGUCCCGCAACGAGCGCAACCCUUAUGCUUAGUUGCCAGCAGGUCAAGCUGGGCACUCUAAGCAGACUGCCGGUGACAAACCGGAGGAAGGUGGGGAUGACGUCAAAUCAUCAUGCCCCUUAUGACCUGGGCUACACACGUACUACAAUGGCCGGUACAACGGGAAGCGAAGCCGCGAGGUGGAGCCAAUCCUAGAAAAGCCGGUCUCAGUUCGGAUUGUAGGCUGCAACUCGCCUACAUGAAGUCGGAAUUGCUAGUAAUCGCGGAUCAGCAUGCCGCGGUGAAUACGUUCCCGGGUCUUGUACACACCGCCCGUCACACCACGAGAGUUUACAACACCCGAAGUCGGUGAGGUAACCGCAAGGAGCCAGCCGCCGAAGGUGGGGUAGAUGAUUGGGGUGAAGUCGUA